AGCAUCAUCAUCUGAUAUGACUGCAACUGCAGUGACAUCUGGUACUACUACAAUUGCCUCACCAUCUGAUACUACUACA
rnacentral:lncRNA from 1 species